UCAGGUGCUGGGGUUUGUAGUUUAGGGCGGGGCUUUGAGAACCCUCAGGCAAAGAGCUCUUGGGUCUCACUGAACUACAAAUCCCAGAAUCCCACAGUAUGAUGCUCAUACUAGGAGCCUCCGAUGGCCUAGGGGAGAAAAGCCAUGUGACUUGAAGGUUGGGUUGCUGACCUGAAGGUUGCCAGGUUCGAGUCCCACCCGGAGAGAGUGCGGAUGAGCUCCCUCUAUCAGCUCCAGCUCCAUGCGGGGACAUGAGAGAAGCCUCCCAUAAGGAUGCUAUGUUGUCGCCCAGUAGCCCUCUACAGGGGAGCCUGCUAGCCAGCAACAACGAAACAUGAGCAAGCCCUUAACACAAUGGAAAUGAAAAUGCUGAGAUGGACACUUGGUUUGACACUUGUUGACCAUGUGCCAAAUGAUGACAUCUGUCAAAGAUGAGGAAUAAAGGCAAUCCGUAAGAAAAUGCAAGAAGCAAGACUACGGUGGUAUGGCCAUGUCAUGAGAAUAGAACUAACAUCAGUAGCACACACAGCAUUACAUGUGGAGAUUGCAGGACGACGACCACGUCGUCGGCCAAAGAAAAGACAAAAAGAUACCAUCAACAAAGAUAUGCAAGCUGCCAGCCUAAGACUUGAGGAUACCCAAAACAAAGCCCUGUGGAAACGACAGUCACAAUGCUAACCCCUCCAUUGGGAAAAUAGCUUAGAAAGAAGCAGCAGCAGCUAUGUUGUAACCUGCCUCAUGCCACGAGGAGAAGCGGUUCUACAUAUAACUUGGAUGCUUAUGAUGCCUAACAGAGCAGAAGUGAAAAUAAUUAUGCUUUCCAGAUGCUACUGAACUGUCACUCCCAGCUGCUAGACACAGCUCAGACAAUAUUGAGUUCAGCAAUUUCCAGAAGACUGUGGUUCCCACCUGUGCACUAAGGUUAAACUCGCUGAAGUCUGUGCGAUUCUCACUCCAUUCUAUUUUUAAAUUCUGUAAUCAUACAUUCAAUAUCAUGUCAUUCUUCACUUGCCAUCUCUUCUCCCUAGUCUCAACCUGAUGAAGAGAACUGAAGAUCUUGAAAGCUUCUUCCCAAUUUUGUGCAUAUAUGAUUGAUUCUCAGGUAUUACCUGAAAACAGAUUAUGGAAUUUAUAUUAGUCUUUUGCAUUUGGAAUUAAAGGUCAGCUUUAUAAAAUUAUUGGAAGGGGGUAGUUAUUCUGUGAAGCAGCUUUUCGUAGGGACAAUACAGAACUAGACGUAAUCCCCUUUAAGAACAAACUAGGUUUGAUUUCUCAAUUAGUGGGGCAAUUAGCACCAUUUUAAAAACAAUUUCAGGACAUGUACAUUGGACAGUUCAGCCAUGAAACAAGCAGUGGGGCAGUAUGCGAUGGUUGAAAGUGAUGAAAUUAGGAAUUUGCUUUAAAAAUGCACAAACUCCCCCCAUGACUAGGAAAAGCAAUAGCAGUCAACAGCUAAAACUUAUUCCACACUAUGAUUUAUACUGAUCUGAAAAAAACCAUAGUCUCCCACAAUAUGAGCACAUGAAGUUCAAAAAGGCUGGUGGGCAAACUGGUUUUUAAGUAAAAGCCAUUUCUAGGACUUCGGGUGUGCUAAGGACUGUAUUAACUGUUCCAGUUGUCUAUCCUGCUUCACUGAUCAUCAUACCUCGUAACUUGGGAAUGGCAAAAUCUGGACCUAAGAUACUGCUAAACUGCAACUCCCAUCAGCCCUAGCCAGAAUAGUAACAAAUGCUAAAAUUCAAGUGGUCACACUUUGUCCAUCCUAAACUAUUACGCAGGAUGCAUUUUUCUGUCAAGUUUACACAAGCAGUUUGCCAUAAACUCAGGCAGCUUAUUAGUUAAAUCCAACUGUGAUCAUGCAGAACCAAUGAUAUUUGAAUUCCAGUCAUGGUAUUUGGUUCUUUUAUAUUUCAAUUUACUUAGCAGUUAACCUCUAUCAAUUAAAAAUUGAAAUGAGUUCGACCAUUUUUCUUCUUUUGAUGAAAAAAAUGCUGGAAAUUAAUACAUUCUGAACAGCAUACAACUUUGUAUAAAUAAACUUUGAGAAAAUGCUGAAUAUUUUAGUCUGUAUAUAUUGUACUCAUUGCAGGAGUUACAGAGCAAUAUAGAAAGGCUCCAAUUCAAUGUCUGGGAGUAUGAUAUUUCAUGGCUUUCAAUCAGAACUAGCUAACCUACUUCUAGAUAGCAUCUUAUCAUCAAUUAAAGCACUGAUUAGUGAUCAAUACUUAAAAACAGAAAUGAAGCUUAACAAAAUGUUAAUAUAAUGUCUACCAAGGAAUAUCAGUUUCAAAUGUACUCCUUAAUCAAGUUUAUGUAAACCAGUUCAAUUCCAGGACUGGGAGAAAAUGAAGGGCAAAAAGCAGCAUUGAUUUAGUCUGUUGUUGGGCACCUACCUAUUUAUUAGGAAAAGACAAGUAACUAUUACCUAGCAAGCUAACAAGCAUACUUUUUGUGCGUGUUCUUCAGAGCAGUGGUUCUCAACUUUUGAUAUAUUAUGUGACCCACAAAUUACUCUGCAAAAGAGGAAAAUUUCCACUAGAAUGAGCAAUCGUGUAAGGUAAAUUUUAAGGCAGUAUUGCUAGAACUAUACUUUGGAGAUACAGUCAUUAAUUAAUCAGCCCCAGAGGGUUUUUAAUAAUCUACCCCGUUUUUAUUACGAUUUUACCAUUUAUGUGUUUUAAAUGCAAAUUUUUAUCCUGUAUUUUUGUUUUAAUUGAUAUAUUGUAUUACUGUUUUAUCUUUUUAUAGUGUGAUUUGUAUUAUGUUGUUUAUGUUUUGUUCUAUGUUGUUUGGGCCUCUGCCCCAUGUAAGCCGCCCCGAGUCCCCACGGGGAGAUGGUGGCGGGGUAUAAAUAAAGUUUUUAUUAUUAUUAUUAUUAUUAUUAUUAUUAUUAUUAUUAUUAUUAUUAUUAUUAUUAUUAUUUAUACACCAAUGUCCAUUAGUACAGUUAUUAGAAAUUGCUGUAAUGCCUUAUAUCUCAGCUAAACUAUUUCCAUGUUCUGUUGAUGAUGCAUGUGUACCUGGUUGAGAACUGCUCCAAAACAACUUUGAUCCCAUGACUGUCUCCAGACAAGCAUUUGUGAGUUUCAAAACCUCAAAAUGAUAACAAUAUACACAGGAGUGCAGCUAUAUUAAUGGCAUAUUAAUUUUAACCUCAUGAAUAAAAAUCUAGCCUCAGACAAAAAUCUAGCCAAAGAAAUGUAUUUAUUUAUUUAUUUAUUUCCAGCAUUUAUAUUCCGCCCUUCUCACCCCGAAGGGGACUCAGGGCGGAUCGCAUUACACAUAUAGGCAAACAUUCAAUGCCUUUCAACAUAGAACAAAGACAAGACAAACAUGGCUCCGAGCGGGCCUCGAACUCAUGACCUCCCGGUCAGAGUGAUUCAUUGCAGUGAUUCAUUGCAGCUGCUCUCCAGCCUGCGCCACAGCCCGAGUGCAUCUUAUCUGCCAGACAUGUUUCUGUAUUGUUCCUCCUAUUGUUUGUGAAUAACUGGCUCCAUUCUGCCUCAGAGUUGUACUUGUACUUGCUACUCUAUCAACCCUGUACACUUGGAAUUAACUUGGUACAGAUUUCUCCAUGGGAAUCAAGCUAACCGUAACAUAGUAUUGAGAUGACAAUGAAUACUUAAACCAGAAUAUGAGUAAUAUGUGGCCUAUAGACGAUGUAUAACAAAAUCAACACUUUUUAAAAUAUGUAUACACCUUUAGCAGCUUAGAAUUCUGGAAAACAAUUUUGCAAUUCCCCACCUGCAAAAAAACCUUUACUUUUAACAGUAUUAAGUAAUGCAUUAGUUGUAAAAUUAUACGGGAAACCUUAAAUGAGAGGUUUGUAACUCUGAAAGGCAGGAGUGCAUUGCUGUGCAGAUGACAAUUUAAACAUCUGACAGAACUGUAAGAUAAGGUGGAAUUUGUAACUCUUAAUUAAAAUCUUAUUAUAACAUUUAUUUCUCAAUUUAAAUGUAUACUUGGCCUUCAAAUAAUCUCCAUCAUUACUACUAGCAAUCAUAGAAUUUCUGUCUGGAUGUUGUAACUAGCUUCCUGCUAAGCAAUGUUCAUACUAGAAAAUAUGAACUUCAAUGGGGGAAUGGUACCUUCCAAGACACAGAGAUCUGAAAGCAACGUAGUCAUAUAUUUUUUUCUCAUUCAAUUUCUUCAAGAUUCACCAUUCUGUAAUAGGCCAUCAAGUCUUUAACUUCAGGUGCCCUUCUAUAUAUUUUUGUCUUCUGCACUGCUUCUACAGAUCCAAGUAUACAGAUGGUCAUGGAAAGAUCUUCACAUAAAUAGUAUUUAUUUAAACCAUUACUGCAGACAAGUGGAGAGUGGAACACUAAUCCUAAUAUUAACAUUAGAAAAGGAGUAGAUGAACUGUGAUAUUAUCUGAAAGCCAUAUAGUCCUCCACAUUUGCAGGUUUAACUUAUUUCAGAUUUGAUUAAUAGGAUCUCUCUGGGAAUUUCUAGGUCCUCUAUGUCAACUCUGUGGUAAAUGUCCAGAAAUGUUAUCUCAAAUUUACAUAACAGUUUUCAAACUUUUGAAGGAGUUCUACACCCCCUAACCCCUACAAAAGUGGGAGGCCUACUGUUUACGGGAACUACAACAAAGCAAUGGCACUUUCUAAAAGGCCAGGGUAGUGGGAGACUUUCCACCCCACACAAACCAACAAGGACUCAAAAGCAUUCUGUCAUUAAAGUGUUCAAUCCAUACACUGGACUGUUCUUCACAUACUGGGCAGCUUACAAAUACUUAUAUUGUAUUGGAUUUUAUAUCUGGAUAUAUGCAACCACAUAGCCCAGGAGAAGGAUUUCCAUUUUAAAAUUAGUCUUGUAAACAAUUUUGCCCUUCUACCUAAUUUUUCAAGAAUGCAAAUGGCACAGAAAUCUUGUCUUUAUCUUUCACAGCUGGCAGCUUCAAUAACCUUUCCCCAUCUGUAUAACAACAGUGACAGAAUCCUGAUUGUAUCAGCAGUUUUCUUCUCCAAUAGCAAUUAAAACCAGAAGCUGUUAUCAAUAAUAACUAUCUCCAUAUUAUAUUAAGCUAUAAACAAAAUUCACAACUUUGCUACUCCAGGGCUUCUGGAUUCAUGUUUAGUUCCACGCAGAGAUCACUCCAAACAUAAAAGAUGGGAGUAGACUACUUACAGCUAGACAGAAAGCAGAAGUAAACCAAAAUUACUACUUUCUGAAUUGUAAGGCAAGUUAGAAGCAGGAAUAACUGGACUGCAUUAAAUACAUUUCAAAGUAGCAAUUAACAACAAGGAAAUGCUGAAGAAUAUAUGAGUAUUAGUCAUAGAAAAACUAUCAAGCCAUCAACAAUGGACAGACUUUAAGUAUAUUCUGAUGACAGCAUUUGCAAUUUUGCUACCAGAUGUCAUUUUAAAUAAAAAUGUGGGUGAAUUGGACUUGGGGCAGAAUAUAUAUAAAUAGCAAGCCUUACAUUUCACCAACAGUGCCAUCACAUAACAUCACAAGCUACUUUUUGUAAAGAAAUAACAUUAAAUAACUAUACAAAUAAUGGCCCAAGUUUCAAAGUUUGCUUUUUAUGAUUACACCUCAAGACGGUUGG